rnacentral:tRNA from 1 species
GCUAGCGUAGCUUAAGACAAAGCAUGGCAGUGAAGAUGCCAAGUUGGGUUGUGAAAAACUCCGCAUGCA